rnacentral:rRNA from 1 species
CCUACGGGAGGCAGCAGUGGGGAAUAUUGGACAAUGGGCGAAAGCCUGAUCCAGCCAUGCCGCGUGUGUGAAGAAGGCCUUCGGGUUGUAAAGCACUUUCAGUGGGGAAGAAAGCCUUGGGGCUAAUACCCUCGAGGAAGGACAUCACCCACAGAAGAAGCACCGGCUAACUCCGUGCACAGCAGCCGCGGUAAUACGGAGGGUGCGAGCGUUAAUCGGAAUUACUGGGCGUAAAGCGCGCGUAGGCGGUCUGAUAAGCCGGUUGUGAAAGCCCCGGGCUCAACCUGGGAACGGCAUCCGGAACUGUCAGGCUAGAGUGCAGGAGAGGAAGGUAGAGUUCCCGGUGUAGCGGUGAAAUGCGUAGAGAUCGGGAGGAAUACCAGUGGCGAAGGCGGCCUUCUGGACUGACACUGACGCUGAGGUGCGAAAGCGUGGGUAGCAAACAGGAUUAGAUACCCCAGUAGUC